rnacentral:snRNA from 1 species
AUACUAACCUGCCAGGGGAGAUGACAUCAUCAGGAAGGUAGUUUUCCCAAGGCAAGGCUUAUCAACUCUUCUCUGAAUGUGUUGUCCCCUGCAAUUUCCCCAAAUGUGGGAAGUGCCACUCCAUAAUUUGUGACAGUGAGAAACUGAGUUCACACUUUCCUC